AGAGGACUAACCUGAAGUUGGAGCUACACACCAUGAUGAUCAGAUUUGGGGUUGUUGUGGUAAUAUUCAGUACAAUAUGUGUGUCAAAAUGCAACAAUGUUCAGCGGCAUAUUCAAGUUCCGGGGGUUCAAAUUGGUGGUAUGCAGGCACCAUAGUGGUAUGCAGGCACCAUACCGUUAUGCAGGCACCAUACCGUCAUGCAGAUGGCACAUCUCAACAAAUCUGUGAUGGCAUUCUCAGUGCUGACCAGUUGGGUCAACAGGGAUUCAGUGGUGACCGGCUACAAUACACUGGAGUGACCUUUACCACCAAGACAACUGGAACCAGGAGAAAUAAAUGAAAGAAUUGGGGAGUAUCCUGUUGUUCCACUAUUGGAAGUUGCAACAUCACAGAAACAAGCAAAUCUUUUUUUACAGACAUGGAUCACAGUUUGUUUUCUAUAGUUUAAAGGGGUGUAAUUCCCAGAGUUGUGCUAUUUUGUUUCUUUGAUUAUUUCAGAAAUUAAGUGUAAAUGCAAGUAUGUUUAAUUAGUAAUCCAUUUCAAAGAGAAGAUCUUUGAUGACAGUUGUGUAAAUCAACCUUUGUACCAUUAUUAAAAGCUCCAUUCUAAAUAAUGUGAUGAAUCAGACGAUAAAGUUGGUUAGAUGAUUCGAUAUAGACCUACAGGUACCUAAAUUCUGGUACAUUAUAGCUAUAAACUGUCACGGAUCUCUCCGGAACUUUCAUUACGCACACCUGUCCCCUAUUCCUACUGAUUAGUGCUUGCAUAAGUGUGUCUUUGGUUUCCAUUGGGCGGUCAAUUAUUGUUCAAAUGUCCGUUGUUUCUUGUGAGUACCUGUUCUAUGUGUGUUUUGGCUUUCGUGCGCAGAUGAUUACGGGUCUCGUCCUGUGUGUUAAUCAGUGUGCGCUUGUGUUAUUUACUCGAGGUACUCCUCGCUCUUUUGUUUGGGUUUCUACCCUUUGUUUUCUUUAUUGUUUGUUUAGUCUUCA